AGUGAACGCUGGCGGUAGGCCUAACACAUGCAAGUCGAACGGCAGCACAGUAAGAGCUUGCUCUUACGGGUGGCGAGUGGCGGACGGGUGAGGAAUACAUCGGAAUCUACUUUUUCGUGGGGGAUAACGUAGGGAAACUUCCGCUAAUACCGCAUACGACCUACGGGUGAAAGCAGGGGAUCUUCGGACCUUGCGCGAUUGAAUGAGCCGAGGUCGGAUUAGCUAGUUGGCGGGGUAAAGGCCCACCAAGGCAACGAUCCGUAGCUGGUCUGAGAGGGUGAUCGGCCACACUGGAACUGAGACACGGUCCAGACUCCUACGGGAGGCAGCAGUGGGGAAUAUUGGACAAUGGGCGCAAGCCUGAUCCAGCCAUACCGCGUGGGUGAAGAAGGCCUUCGGGCUGUAAAGCCCUUUUGUUGGGAAAGAAAAGCAGCAGGUUAAUACCCCGCUGUUCUGACGGUACCCAAAGAAUAAGCACCGGCUAACUUCGUG
rnacentral:rRNA from 1 species